GGUUAAGCGACUAAGCGUACACGGUGGAUGCCCUGGCAGUCAGAGGCGAUGAAGGACGUGCUAAUCUGCGAUAAGCGUCGGUAAGGUGAUAUGAACCGUUAUAACCGGCGAUUUCCGAAUGGGGAAACCCAGUGUGUUUCGACACACUAUCAUUAACUGAAUCCAUAGGUUAAUGAGGCGAACCGGGGGAACUGAAACAUCUAAGUACCCCGAGGAAAAGAAAUCAACCGAGAUUCCCCCAGUAGCGGCGAGCGAACGGGGAGCAGCCCAGAGCCUGAAUCAGUGUGUGUGUUAGUGGAAGCGUCUGGAAAGGCGCGCGAUACAGGGUGACAGCCCCGUACACAAAAAUGCACAUGCUGUGAGCUCGAUGAGUAGGGCGGGACACGUGGUAUCCUGUCUGAAUAUGGGGGGACCAUCCUCCAAGGCUAAAUACUCCUGACUGACCGAUAGUGAACCAGUACCGUGAGGGAAAGGCGAAAAGAACCCCGGCGAGGGGAGUGAAAAAGAACCUGAAACCGUGUACGUACAAGCAGUGGGAGCCUCUUUUAUGGGGUGACUGCGUACCUUUUGUAUAAUGGGUCAGCGACUUAUAUUCUGUAGCAAGGUUAACCGAAUAGGGGAGCCGAAGGGAAACCGAGUCUUAACUGGGCGUUAAGUUGCAGGGUAUAGACCCGAAACCCGGUGAUCUAGCCAUGGGCAGGUUGAAGGUUGGGUAACACUAACUGGAGGACCGAACCGACUAAUGUUGAAAAAUUAGCGGAUGACUUGUGGCUGGGGGUGAAAGGCCAAUCAAACCGGGAGAUAGCUGGUUCUCCCCGAAAGCUAUUUAGGUAGCGCCUCGUGAAUUCAUCUCCGGGGGUAGAGCACUGUUUCGGCAAGGGGGUCAUCCCGACUUACCAACCCGAUGCAAACUGCGAAUACCGGAGAAUGUUAUCACGGGAGACACACGGCGGGUGCUAACGUCCGUCGUGAAGAGGGAAACAACCCAGACCGCCAGCUAAGGUCCCAAAGUCAUGGUUAAGUGGGAAACGAUGUGGGAAGGCCCAGACAGCCAGGAUGUUGGCUUAGAAGCAGCCAUCAUUUAAAGAAAGCGUAAUAGCUCACUGGUCGAGUCGGCCUGCGCGGAAGAUGUAACGGGGCUAAACCAUGCACCGAAGCUGCGGCAGCGACGCUUAUGCGUUGUUGGGUAGGGGAGCGUUCUGUAAGCCUGUGAAGGUGUGCUGUGAGGCAUGCUGGAGGUAUCAGAAGUGCGAAUGCUGACAUAAGUAACGAUAAAGCGGGUGAAAAGCCCGCUCGCCGGAAGACCAAGGGUUCCUGUCCAACGUUAAUCGGGGCAGGGUGAGUCGACCCCUAAGGCGAGGCCGAAAGGCGUAGUCGAUGGGAAACAGGUUAAUAUUCCUGUACUUGGUGUUACUGCGAAGGGGGACGGAGAAGGCUAUGUUGGCCGGGCGACGGUUGUCCCGGUUUAAGCGUGUAGGCUGGUUUUCCAGGCAAAUCCGGAAAAUCAAGGCUGAGGCGUGAUGACGAGGCACUACGGUGCUGAAGCAACAAAUGCCCUGCUUCCAGGAAAAGCCUCUAAGCAUCAGGUAACAUCAAAUCGUACCCCAAACCGACACAGGUGGUCAGGUAGAGAAUACCAAGGCGCUUGAGAGAACUCGGGUGAAGGAACUAGGCAAAAUGGUGCCGUAACUUCGGGAGAAGGCACGCUGAUAUGUAGGUGAAGCGACUUGCUCGUGGAGCUGAAAUCAGUCGAAGAUACCAGCUGGCUGCAACUGUUUAUUAAAAACACAGCACUGUGCAAACACGAAAGUGGACGUAUACGGUGUGACGCCUGCCCGGUGCCGGAAGGUUAAUUGAUGGGGUUAGCGCAAGCGAAGCUCUUGAUCGAAGCCCCGGUAAACGGCGGCCGUAACUAUAACGGUCCUAAGGUAGCGAAAUUCCUUGUCGGGUAAGUUCCGACCUGCACGAAUGGCGUAAUGAUGGCCAGGCUGUCUCCACCCGAGACUCAGUGAAAUUGAACUCGCUGUGAAGAUGCAGUGUACCCGCGGCAAGACGGAAAGACCCCGUGAACCUUUACUAUAGCUUGACACUGAACAUUGAGCCUUGAUGUGUAGGAUAGGUGGGAGGCUUUGAAGUGUGGACGCCAGUCUGCAUGGAGCCGACCUUGAAAUACCACCCUUUAAUGUUUGAUGUUCUAACGUUGACCCGUAAUCCGGGUUGCGGACAGUGUCUGGUGGGUAGUUUGACUGGGGCGGUCUCCUCCUAAAGAGUAACGGAGGAGCACGAAGGUUGGCUAAUCCUGGUCGGACAUCAGGAGGUUAGUGCAAUGGCAUAAGCCAGCUUGACUGCGAGCGUGACGGCGCGAGCAGGUGCGAAAGCAGGUCAUAGUGAUCCGGUGGUUCUGAAUGGAAGGGCCAUCGCUCAACGGAUAAAAGGUACUCCGGGGAUAACAGGCUGAUACCGCCCAAGAGUUCAUAUCGACGGCGGUGUUUGGCACCUCGAUGUCGGCUCAUCACAUCCUGGGGCUGAAGUAGGUCCCAAGGGUAUGGCUGUUCGCCAUUUAAAGUGGUACGCGAGCUGGGUUUAGAACGUCGUGAGACAGUUCGGUCCCUAUCUGCCGUGGGCGCUGGAGAACUGAGGGGGGCUGCUCCUAGUACGAGAGGACCGGAGUGGACGCAUCACUGGUGUUCGGGUUGUCAUGCCAAUGGCACUGCCCGGUAGCUAAAUGCGGAAGAGAUAAGUGCUGAAAGCAUCUAAGCACGAAACUUGCCCCGAGAUGAGUUCUCCCUGACUCCUUGAGAGUCCUGAAGGAACGUUGAAGACGACGACGUUGAUAGGCCGGGUGUGUAAGCGCAGCGAUGCGUUGAGCUAACCGGUACUAAUGAACCGUGAGGCUUAACCUU
rnacentral:rRNA from 1 species